rnacentral:lncRNA from 1 species
UUCCUUCAGCUACCCUGAUGUCCCCACUUCCAAGUCCUGACUCCUUUGAGCCAUCCCAGGGGGUGUCCAGCCACUGGACCACAGGAGCAGAGACCAGGCUGUGACUGUGUGACCAUCAAGAAUCACUAUCAGUGGCCCCUGAGGAGCAUCAGCCGUGCCCCUUUUCCAGGAACCUUUGCCACACCCACACCUGCGCCCUCCCCUCCCUGACCCUCCCACAGCUCCUGUGGUGCGCCAGUGCUCUGCGCUUGCCUCACCAGCUCUCUGCUUGCUUUUCUCUCUCCUAUUUUUGCUCUACUUCUCUCCAACUGCCAGCUGAUUGGGUCAGGCAAGUCCACCCCAUCCUGAGAGCCCCAGCCACACUUUAACCUCCAAACAGAUCCUCCUCUUCUCGGAGGCCUCCCUUUCCAGGCCUGCUGGGCGGGUGUCCUGUGACUUGACAGUGGCUCCCCAGCCCCAAAGCCAGCCCCCUUCAUCUGUGACUUAGUCUGUUGUAGUGCUGAGCUGACACAUCCAGGUGUGACCGUUCCUGAAAACUUGUGCCCUUUUGUGGUACGCCCUGCCCUGUUCUAUAAAUAUCUAUAAAUACUCUGUGGUAUGCCCUGCCCUGUUCUAUAAAUAUCUACAAAUACUCUGUGGUAUGCCCUGCCCUGUUCUAUAAAUAUCUAUAAAUACUCUGUGGUACGCCCUGCCCUGUUCUAUAAAUAUCCAUAAAUACUCUGUGGUACGCCCUGCCCUGUUCUAUAAAUACCUAUAAAUACUCUGUGGUAUGCCCUGCCCUGUUCUAUAAAUAUCUAUAAAUACUCUGUGGUACGCCCUGCCCUGUUCUAUAAAUAUCUAUAAAUACUCUGUGGUAUGCCCUGCCCUGUUCUAUAAAUAUCUAUAAAUACUCUGUGGUACGCCCUGCCCUGUUCUAUAAAUAUCUAUAAAUACUCUGUGGUACGCCCUGCCCUGUUCUAUAAAUAUCUAUAAAUACUCUGUGGUAUGCCCUGCCCUGUUCUAUAAAUAUCUAUAAAUACUCUGUGGUACGCCCUGCCCUGUUCUAUA